rnacentral:lncRNA from 1 species
GGCUAGGGGUCUAAUCAGAGCUGUAGCCUCUGCCGAUGCCACAGGCACAGCAACAUGGGAUCCAAACUGCGUCUGCAACCUAUACCACAGCUCAUGGCAAUGCCGGAUCCUUAACCCACUGAGAGAGGCCAGGGAUCGAACCUGCAACCUCAUGGUUUCUAGUCGGAUUCGUUUCCGCUGCGCCACGAUGGGACCUCCAUAAUUAGAUAAUACUUUAUUGCUAAAAAUGCUCAACUAUCAUCUGAGCCUUCAGCCAGUCAUAGUAGUGACCUCAAAGAUCACUGAUCACAGUUUGCCAUAAUAAAUACAUAAAUGAAAAAGUUUGAAAUGCUGUGAGGAUUACCAAAACAUGACACAGGGACAUGACCUGAGCAAACGCUGCUGGAAAAACGGUGCUUGAUGCAGGGUUGCCACAAACCUUCAAUUUGUGAAAAAUGAUCAUUUGCAGAAUGCAUGAAGCAAAGUGCAGUACAAUGAGGCGUUAUAAUGCAAUGCCUCUGUUGAGGUUAGUGAUGCAAUGGCAGCGACUAGUCCAGCAGAGGGAAUAUGGUUGUAAGAAGUUUAAGGUUUGAGGAUUUCCCCUCGUGGCUCAGCGGUCAGUGAAUUUGACCAGGGUCCAUGAGGAUGCGGGUUCGAUCCCUGGCCUUGCUCAGCAGGUUAAGGAUCCUGUGUUGCUGUGUCUGUGGUGUAGGCCAGCAGCUGUAGCUCCCAUUCCACCCCUAGUCUGGAAACGUUCAUAUGCUGCGAGUAUGGCCCUAAAAAGCAAAAAAAAGUUUAAGGUUCGAGGUCUAAAUUUUUUUUUAGGUAUCUCCUGUCUUUAAUUCAUUAAUUUUAAAAAAGUGUAUAAUUUUUAAAGGUUACUUCCAUUUACAGCUAUUUCAAAAUAUUGGCUAUAUUCCCUGUGUUGGACAGUACGUCCUUGAUCUAUCGUACACCCAAGAGUUUGUAUCGCCUCCCUCACCCCUUUAUUGCCCCUCCCUCCUCACUGGUAACCCUGAGUUCGUUCUCUAUAUCUGUGGCUCUGCUUCUUUCGUAUUAUAUUCACUGUGUGUUGCAUUUUUUUAGAUUCCACAUGUAAAUGAUAUUGUACAGUAUUUGUCUUUCUCUGCCCGACUUAUGUUACUAACAUAAUGCCCUCCACGCCUAUCCAUGUGGCUGCAAAGGGCAUUAUUUCAUUCUUUUUUUUGGCUGAGUAAUAUUCCAUUUUGUGUGUGUGUUUGUGUUUACACCUCUUCUUUAUCCAGUCAUCUGUGGAUGGUACUUAGGUUGCUUCCAUAUCUGGCAAUUAUAAACUAUGCUGCUCUGAACAUGAGGGUGCAAAUAUCUAUUUGAAUUAUUGUUUUUGUUUUUUUCAGAUAUAUACCCAGGAGUGGAAUUGCUGGGUCCUAUGUUAGUUCUAUUUUUAGUUUUUUGAAGAAUCUCUGUACUGUUUUCCACAGUGGCUGCACCCAUUUACAGUCUCAUGAACUGGUGUAUGAGGGUUCCCUUUUCACCACAUCUUGAGGUCUAAAUUUUUUUGUCCUUUUAGGGCCACACCUGUGGCAUUUGGAGGUUCCCAGGCUAGCAGUCUAAUCAGAGCUAUUGCUGCUGGCCUACACCACAGCCACAGCAAUGCCAGAUCUGAGCUGCAUCUUCGACCUACACCAUAGCUCGUGGCAACGCCGGAUCCUUAACCCACUGAGUGAGGCCAGGGAUCGAACCUGCAACCUCAUGGUUCCUGGUCGGAUUCGUUUCUGCUGCGCCACAGCAGGAACUCUGAGGUCUAAAUUUUGACUUUUAAUUCCAUAGUUGGUCUUUUGGCUUCUCUCUGCCUCCCAUUUCCACACUCUCGGGUGACACUGCUAAGAAACACUUCCACUUCUUUGUCUUAAGAUUACCCUCUGAAUUUAUAGACACCUAGAAAAUGCCUCAGUGACAUAAAAUGUUCACCCAACAGCUCAGCCUCCUGGUAUCUGAAUCUCUACCAUAAGUGAUGGAAGGAUAAGGAAUGGCCCAGUCCCCAUAGGCACACCUCUGUAUGUGAAAUGGAUGCUCCAUGGGGACCUGAUGUAUAGUACAGGGACCUCUAUUCAGUAUUCCGACUUAACCUCUGUGGGAAAAGAAUCUGAAAAAGAACGGAUAUGUGUGUGUGUAUAACUGAAUCUCUUUGUUGUACAGCAGAAGUUAGCACCACAUUGUGUAUCAACUAUACUUCAGUAAAGCUUAAAAAAAGAAAAAAAAAAAAAAAAAAAAAA